ensembl:lncRNA
CUCCAAGAGCACGUGCACGGGCUCCCCGUGUGCCUGGCGUGCCAGAUUCUUCUCCUGCAGCUCCCGGAUCUCCAGGGUUAAUGCUCCGCUCAGAAGGCUGAGAAGUGCUGCCUCUCCACUUUGUUUAAACAGUGCUGGAGUGAUCCAUCCCUUAAAGGUUUGGUGGAACCUGAGGGGCCAACCUCAGCCUGCAGCUGGCACCUGAAAAGAAGGCCUCAGUGACUCAGAUGAUUGAUCCCAGCAGGGCAGUUUCCGUGGAGCCGACCAUAAGCCUCAGAGAUGCAGACUCCCACGUCCUUGGGGUGGGACUCUCCCUCCCUCCAUCCUGGAUCUUCUUGCUGGUCGAGCCUAGCCCGCCAGAGAGGAGGAUCACAUGUCGGAGUGUAUGUGUCUGUUGUCUGUUUGGGCAGCUGGGUCUCCCCCCGCCCCAGCCUCCGCCGCAGCUCUCUGCUGUUCUGUCCGUGGGGGUCCAGGCGGCCGUGGUACUUCUGCCCACCCUGGUUGCCCUCCGCUGCAGCACCUUGUGUCCCGCGACCAGUAGCCGACCGCCAGGCUCCAGUCUGUGUCUGCCAAGGACGCAUCUUCCCAACACUUCUCUUCCCAGCUCAGCAGAGCCAGGCCUGUCUCCAUGAAGAACCCGAGCCUGGAGCGGAGGAGACUCAUUGGUGUCAGCAGCAGUGCCAGGAGGCAACCCUCGGUCUCUCAGGUGAUGGGGCCUGGCCCCUCUCUGCUGAGUGUGGGACAGAGCACCACGGGCCUCCUGCAGAGCCUGGAGGAGGCUGGGAGCAUCUGAGCUGGUCACGGUCAGUGAUCUGACCAGUGCUGCCCCAGCCCCCUGGGCCAUGAUGUUCCCAACAUCUCCUGACUCAGAAACUGCUUUGAGACGCUCACAACCCACUUUGUGAGUGACCUUCCCAGAAGUGGAACUGAGCAGAAGCUCUCGAGAUCACAUUUGCCUCCUCACACUCACUCUAAUGAAACCCGACACUUAGUAGUGGGGAACAGGACUCAGAAAUGGGGACCCUAGGGCCGGUGGGCCAAAGGGAACAGAGACUGGACAGAUGCACCCAACAUUUCUCUUGCUGGACUCUGUCUUGCCUGACCCAGGGAAUGCCUGGAAUCCAGCAUCCUGACCCUGUCCCAGCCAUGAGCCCUGGGCAAAGGUGCAGGGACCAUGUUCUCUGCAGAGCCAAGCAUGCCCUGACUAGGUGCUCGGGCAAAUGUCUGGUGAACUUGCAGGAAUAAAAGCUGGUUUUCACUCAGUGCUAGAGUGCGCUGUACUUUGUGAUCUUGCAUAGUUCCUAUGAUGGGGAGGUCACUACCUAAUCAAGUUUCAGAUCUUAGUUUGGUUUUCUAGAAGUUGACCCUGAAGCAAGGAUUCAAGCACACCUAGCUUAUUGGGGACGUGACCUGGAAAAUAAUGGUAGAGGG